GAGGCAGGACUCUCGCGAGGGCGCAGGGGCAGGUCCUGCCCUCGGUCGCUGGGCCCGGCUCCCUCUCGCUUGCCUCGGGCUCUCUGAGUCCUUCGCCCGCUCGGGGCCUCGAGCCGAGGGGCGUGGAGGGGAGGUGGGCGCGGACAGGAAGUCUGAGGACCCGCAGUGCGGAGGCGGAGGUGGGAAAAUACAAGGCAUUCAAGCUGAGAUGGUAUGGUGCUGAAACUUUCCUCAAAGGUUCUUCUCCCAAGAUCAUUCGUAUUCUUCUGUAGAAAUUUUUACUAAUUUUUCAUUGUGUGGCUUGUGAAAUUAGAGGAGUCACUAUUGCUGGAAUAGAGUAUAACAUAUUUCAUCCGACCACAACAGUGCUUUCAAGGUUGCCGGCUAGCUUUGUUCGUAGAGAAGUCAGAAAUUCGUUUCAGUGGGCCGGAUCAAAUGCAUCCUCCCUUAGGAGGCUCUAGCAUCUUCCAGCUCCUGGUGGCUGCCUCACUCCAGUCUUCAAGGCCAGCAUCUUCAAAUCUGCUUGUCUUCACAGAGCCACCUCCUGUGUGUGGAAUGUCCCUCUCUGCCUCCCUCUUCCUCCCAUGUGAUCACAUUUAGGGCCCACCAGGAUUAUCCAAGAUAAUCCCCAUCUCAAGACCCUUAAUCUAAUCACACCUGCAAAUAAGGUUAGCAUUUACAGGUUUCAGAGAUUAGGACAUGGUGAUAUCUUUAGGUCCUAGUCUGGCAGGUUUUCUCUUCUGAAAAACAAGGCGGUUGCAUCAUGUAAUCUCUGACAGUACUGCCAAUAAAACUGCAGCAAUGGAAGUGGUUCAUCUGUGCCGCCCCAGCCUCACGCGGCUACGGAGCAAUUGACCUGUGGCAGAUGCAGGGCCUCAGGCCAAAUGACUGAAGGGCAUUAGGACUCUGGAGUAGAACCUGGAGCAGUUUGUGAAUCCAGUGCUCAUUCUGGAAGACUAUUUGCUACCCUUCAGUCAGACUUUUAACACUUGCAGAUUUUACAUCUUUUAUCAAGACUAUACUUGGAAAACAUUGCCAUUCCCUGGGCCCACCUUCUCUGGACCACUGUUGGUGAAUUAUCUUAUGCAGCCCUCGUUCUGCCACAACUUGCUAUAGCCUGUUAAGGCUUUGUGAUUGUUUUCUCUCGAGUUUCCUUUCCCUUUAGCUGCUUACCAUUUGAGGAAGCCACUUCCUAGAGGCCUUUUGUUGUAACAACAUCCCCUUCCUCCCCCACGUUGCUAUGCAGCAUUUUCCCUCAGGAAGCCUCAGGGUCCUUUACACUGUCAGCCUCUAUCAGCAGAUCAGUAGGAACCCAAAGAAACCAAGCUCUGGAGUAGUGGAAAUGUUCUGUAUCUGUGCUGCUUCUAGCCACAUGCAGCUGUUGAGUACUUGAAAUGUGGCCAGUUACAUGGUUACAACCAACCAUAUUCGCUGGUUUUUGUACACUUUGUUCACCGAUGUGUUCUCAAUACCUAGACUAGUACUUGGCCCAUAGUUAAGUGCUUUAUUAUUAAAUGAACA